rnacentral:rRNA from 1 species
GUGCCAGCCGCCGCGGUAAGACGUAGGGCGCGAGCGUUGUCCGGAUUUAUUGGGCGUAAAGAGCUCGUAGGCGGCUCGUUGCGUCAAUCGUGAAAACUUGGGGCUUAACUCCAGGCUUGCGGUUGAUACGGGCGGGCUAGAGUUCGGUAGGGGAGACUGGAAUUCCUGGUGUAGCGGUGAAAUGCGCAGAUAUCAGGAGGAACACCGGUGGCGAAGGCGGGUCUCUGGGCCGAUACUGACGCUGAGGAGCGAAAGCGUGGGGAGCGAACAGGAUUAGAAACCCUCGUAGUCC